UAUGGCCACAUCACAUUGAAACAUUGGUUCCCGUACGAUCACCGAAGUUAAACACCGUCGAGCCUGGGCAACACUUAGAUGGGUGACCGCUUGGGAAUACCAAGU